ACCCGCUGAACUUAAGCAUAUCAAUAAGCGGAGGAAAAGAAACCAACAGGGAUUGCCUUAGUAACGGCGAGUGAAGCGGCAACAGCUCAAAUUUGAAAUCUGGCCUCUUUGGGGUCCGAGUUGUAAUUUGCAGAGGGCGCUUUGGCGUUGGCAGCGGUCCAAGUUCCUUGGAACAGGACGUCACAGAGGGUGAGAAUCCCGUACGUGGUCGCUAGCCUUCGCCGUGUAAAGCCCCUUCGACGAGUCGAGUUGUUUGGGAAUGCAGCUCUAAAUGGGAGGUAAAUUUCUUCUAAAGCUAAAUACUGGCCAGAGACCGAUAGCGCACAAGUAGAGUGAUCGAAAGAUGAAAAGCACUUUGGAAAGAGAGUCAAACAGCACGUGAAAUUGUUGAAAGGGAAGCGCUUGCAGCCAGACUUGCCUGUAGUUGCUCAUCCGGGCUUUUGCCCGGUGCACUCUUCUGCGGGCAGGCCAGCAUCAGUUUGGGCGGUUGGAUAAAGGUCUCUGUCAUGUACCUCUCUUCGGGGAGGCCUUAUAGGGGAGACGACAUGCAACCAGCCCAGACUGAGGUCCGCGCAUUUGCUAGGAUGUUGGCGUAAUGGCUGU
rnacentral:rRNA from 1 species